CUGGCUCUCUAGUCCGCCUGGAAUUAUUGUCAAGAGGACAAACACAGCUCUCUGUGUUCCGGUCACAGCUUCAGCUGAUUCCCCUGAGGAUUUGGAUCAGUCGGCAAUCCGACUUCAGUCUGUUGGACUCUUCCUCAUUAACUGUGUGGAUCACAUACUCUUCUGGAUUCUGCGCCUCAUUCCCAGACUGAGAAGUGAUUUGUGGAAGCUGACUGCUGCUCUCCUGCUUUCUGGUCCUGAGUUACUGAAUAAACCUUUUAACUUUUCACUUUGUGUUUGGCUGAAUUUGGGUUCUGUCUCAGGCCGUGAUAGAAUACAAAUUGUAACCUUUACUUAAUAGAUGUAGCUUUUUGAUUGUUUUUACAAAAUCAUUGGUGCCAUACCCACCAGGAGGAGGCCCAGUGGACGGCCCAGGACAUGCUGGAGGGACUAUGUCUCUCGGCUGGCCUAAGAAUGCCUUGGACUCCCCCCGGAGGAGGAGGUGUCUGGGGAGAAGGAAGUCUGGGCGUCUCUACUGAGUCUACUGCCCCCGCGACCCAGUCCUGGAUGAAGCGGAAGACAGAGUAGGAGUACUGGUGCCAGACAUUAGCGGCACCCCUAAAGAUCUAAUAAAUACUUUACUUUUUCAAAAUGAGCAGAGAAUUUAA